AGUUUGCUGAAAAUAAAAACAGUUGACAGUGACAGGACGUUUCUUUUUUUGCUGAGUUUAUAUACUAGGCAGUGUCAGAGGAAGGCCCAAAAAAUUGUCAAAGACUCCUGUCUCCCAAGUCAUGGACUGUUCUCUCUGCUACCACACGGCAAGCGGUACUGGAGCGCCAAGUCUAGGUCCAAAAGGCUCCUUAACACCUUCUACCUCCAAACCAUAAGACUACUGAACAAUAAAUCAAAUGGCCACCUGGACCAUUUACAUUUGUAUUACACUGCUGCUGCUCGCUGUUUAAUAGCCUCAUUAUUGUUAUUUCAUUUUUUACUUUUUAUUUUAUUUUUUACUUUAGUUUAUUUAGUAAAUAUUUUCUUAGCUCUAUUUCUUGAACUGCAUCGUUGGUUAAGGGCUUGUAAGUAAACAUUUCACGGUAAGGUCUACACCUGUUGUAUUCGGUGCAAGUGACAAAUAACAUUUGAUUUGAUUUUGAUUUGAAAAAGCUCUGGGCUCUUCUGAAGGAGGCCAGACUCCUGAGCUAUGAGAGAAAAUCCACAGAGCCGGAUGUGAGCAGGUUAUACAAUGUGUAUACAUGAACAUGUUAAGUGUUUUGCUAGCUAUGAAGUAGAGUUUUAACGUGUAGACAUCGGUGAGGUUACUCAGACCUAUAAUGCUCCAAAGUUGUAAUGCUGUCAUAAUCAGCCUGGUAUGAUCACCCAUUUCUCUUUUGACUGACAAGGCCAUCAUACAGGAGAUUCAUCAAAAUAAAGAACUUGGCUGGGGGGUGUGGAGCCAGAGACAACAUUGGGGUUAAACUGUAGAAUUCAGUUCCUAUAUUUUAAUAUAAAAAUGUAUUUUUUCAAACAAAACUACUCUACAUUUUAUCUCUAGGACCCUCAGGAUGACAAAUCAGAGCAAGAUUACUGAAUAUAAGCAAAAACCACCCUCUGCAACUGGAUCCUGGAAUUCCUGACUGGCAAACCACAGGCUGUGAGGAUUGGCAACAACACCUCCUCCACACUGACUCUUAACACAGGUGCCCCCCAGGGGUGUGUCCUCCGCCCUCUGCUGUACUCCCUGUUCACCCACGACUGCAUGGCUUUGCACGACACCAACUCCAUCAUCAAGUUUUCUGACCACACAACGGUUAUAGCCCUGAUAACCAACAAGGAUGAAUCAGCCUAUAGGGAGGAGAUAAGUGAACUGGCAUUGUGGUGCCAGGACAAUAACCUCUCCCUCAACAUCAGCAAAAUAAAGGAGUUGAUUGUUGACUUCAGGAAGCAGAGGGAAC